rnacentral:rRNA from 1 species
GUGAGGAAUAUUGGACAAUGGCCGAGAGGCUGAUCCAGCCAUGCCGCGUGCGGGAGGACGGCCCUAUGGGUUGUAAACCGCUUUUGUUGGGGAGCAAUAAGUCUUACGUGUAAGAUGAUGAGAGUACCCAGCGAAUAAGCAUCGGCUAACUCCGUGCCAGCAGCCGCGGUAAUACGGAGGAUGCGAGCGUUAUCCGGAUUUAUUGGGUUUAAAGGGUGCGUAGGCGGGCUGCUAAGCGUGAGGUGAAAUGCCACGGCUCAACCGUGGAACUGCCUCGCGAACUGGUAGUCUUGAAUGUCCGUGCCGUGGGAGGAAUGUGUGGUGUAGCGGUGAAAUGCAUAGAGAUCACACAGAACACCGAUUGCGAAGGCAUCUCACGAACGGAUGAUUGACGCUGAGGCACGAAAGCGUGGGGAUCAAACAGG